GGUUGAAUGCACGUGGUCCCUCUGGUCCUCUGGUUGCUCCUCUGGGAUCUUCAGUGGUUUUGCGCUGUUUAUGUUGAUGAACUCUUAUCAAUGGAGGAUCUGAAGGUGGAAUGGAGAAGAACAGGCUCAGAGACUCUGGUUCAUCUGUAUCAAGAUGGUCGAGCAGAGUCCCAGCAUCAGGAUUAUCGUGAUAGAGCUCAUUUCUUUACUGAUCAGAUUCAACAUGGAAAGUUCUCCCUCCGUCUGGACAAUCUGACAGCUGAGGAUGAGGGACCAUACACCUGUACAGUUUCAGCUAAAAGUAAUUUGAAACUGAGUGUACUUGCUUCCUCUGGGAUACCUGGUAAGUGAAUACAUAAGAAACAUGAUGAAUAUGCAUGAAUGUGUCAGCUUGGAGACGUCUAGAGAGAGGUCUCUCGUGUCCAGUGGCAGUCUAUCUUUUGUGUUUGUGCUUGUCUGUGCCAACACAUGCAAUUUUAAUGAUUAUAGAAACUAGACUGCUGUAAACAUAUUUAAAGUUAUUACUAUGAUUAUUUAAACAUAAUUAUUUUGUAUUUUCUCUCUAGAUCCUUUACUCUGUCGUCUUCUCUUUCAAGUCUGUCCAAAUAUAAUCAUGUUCCUUGCUUUUGUUUUCUGGGGUGUUUCUGAAGGGUCUCUGAAUGAGUCGGUCUCUUGUUGUGCUCUUUAUUUUCUGAGGCCUAUCGUGUUGCUUUGGGCAGAUCCAUAUGUUAAAGAGUUCACAUACAACAGUAAAAGACGGAUUCUGAAAUAUGGUUAUUUUGCUGAAUAUGUUUCCUUCUCAAUUGUUGUUUAUUCAGCUCUAUUUAAAAGUACUUUGCAAAAAGUUCAGUACUACCCUGAAUUUGACAAAAUUGUUAUAAAAGUCCUGUUUUCAGUAGUGAUUCUUACCUGCUUCUGCAAAAUAAUUUACGUUUUCAUUAUAGAGAUUGGAAUAAAGCGUGGAAGGAAAAUUGAAUUGUUUGACCUUGUGGCUGAUAUGACCUUUGAUAUUGUGCCUACAUUACAAUUCAUCCUCCUGUUCUACACUUUUGCAUCAAUCAGAGGAGCAUUCAUCGUAAUUGUAAUCUUACCAGUGUUACUGAUGAUGACGAACGACAGAUGGACUUUUAGAUGUGGAAGGCUCAAAUGUCCACCUUUGGUCAAACGAACAGUGAUGUUAAUCUUUAUAUUUUUGAUCAAUACAGUGAUGAUCAUUCUUUACUGUUGGACAGUGGAAAAAGAAACAGGUAAGAUAAUAUUUUAAAUAGGGCUGUUAAGUUCAAAUUUUAUCUAAUUAAUUGCAUGAUGUGGUGAUUAAUCGCACAGCAGAUUAGUGCUUUUGAAUUAGUGAUGGGAAGUUCGGUUCUUUUCCGCGAACCGGUUCUUUCGGACAGUUCAAUUCAAUAAACCGGUUGAAAAAAAAAAACGAUUCACCGCAUAGACAGUAAAAGAAAUGGACAGUGACCCUGUUGGAUUCAACGGAGACGAGUGAAGUCAAUUAGAAGCACGCCCUUCUUGGGGGUCGAGUGUACUGUGCAGACUCAAACUGAGCUUGAUGACGUAGAGGUCACGUGAGCAACCUGUCUGACAAUUGUAAGUCUUUUAAUCGCUGUGCCAAGAGAAUUCUGAAUAACACACCAAAUCUUGCAGAGGUUGUUGAACAAUUUUGUCCCGUUGCUUUUAUGGACUCUCUAUAGGCUUCUCCCUUGACUUUAUGCUUCCACGUCCCCCUGAUAGCCUCAUAGAUAGUAAAAGAUUGCCUGCGAGCUUCUCCUCCUGUCCAUA
rnacentral:lncRNA from 1 species